rnacentral:rRNA from 1 species
GAGUUUGAUCCUGGCUCAGGAUGAACGCUAGCGACAGGCUUAACACAUGCAAGUCGAGGGGCAGCGGGGGCGGAAGCUUGCUUUCGCCCGCCGGCGACCGGCGCACGGGUGAGUAACACGUAUGCAACCUGGCCGCCACAGGGGAUAACCCGCGGAAACGCGGCCUAAUACCCCGUGACGCCACCGGAGGGCAUCCUCCGGUGGCCAAAGGAGCGAUCCGGUGGCGGAUGGGCAUGCGGCGCAUUAGCUAGACGGCGGGGUGACGGCCCACCGUGGCGACGAUGCGUAGGGGUUCUGAGAGGAAGGCCCCCCACACUGGGACUGAGACACGGCCCAGACUCCUACGGGAGGCAGCAGUGAGGAAUAUUGGUCAAUGGGCGGAAGCCUGAACCAGCCAAGUCGCGUGAGGGAUUAAGGCCCUGCGGGUCGUAAACCUCUUUUGCCGGGGAGCAGUGGUCCGGACGUGUCCGGGCCGGGAGAGUACCCGGAGAAAAAGCAUCGGCUAACUCCGUGCCAGCCGCCGCCGUAAC